AAUAGAUACCCAGGUAGUCCACGCCGUAAACGAUGGAUGCUAGCUGUUAUGCGUAUCGACCCGUGUAGUAGCGAAGCUAACGCGUUAAGCAUCCCGCCUGGGGAGUACGAACGCAAGUUUAAAACUCAAAGGAAUUGACGGGGACCCGCACAAGCGGUGGAGCGUGUUCUUUAAUUCGAGGCUAAGCGAAGAACCUUACCAGGGCUUGACAUCCUUGGAAUUUCUCCGAAAGGAGAGAGUACUUUAUUGGACCAAGUGACAGGUGCUGCAUGGCCGUCGUCAGCUCGUGUCGUGAGAUGUUUGGUUAAGUCCAUUAACGAGCGCAACCCUUAUGAAUAGUUGUAUUUUUCUAUUCAGACUGCCCCGGUAACGGGGAGGAAGGGGGGAUGAUGUCAGGUCAGUAUUGCCCUUACGCCCUGGGCUAGAAACGCGCUACAAUGGCCGGUACAAUGCGCUGCCAACCCGCGAGGGGGAGCAAAUCGCAUCAAAGCCGGUCCCAGUUCGGAUAAGAGGCUGAAACUCGCCUCUUUGAAGCCGGAAUCG
rnacentral:rRNA from 1 species